GGGUUGUGAGGUUAAGCGACUAAGCGUACACGGUGGAUGCCCUGGCAGUCAGAGGCGAUGAAGGGCGUGCUAAUCUGCGAUAAGCGCCGGUAAGGUGAUAUGAACCGUUAUAACCGGCGAUACCCGAAUGGGGAAACCCAGUGUGAUUCGUCACACUAUCAUUAACUGAAUCCAUAGGUUAAUGAGGCGAACCGGGGGAACUGAAACAUCUAAGUACCCCGAGGAAAAGAAAUCAACCGAGAUUCCCCCAGUAGCGGCGAGCGAACGGGGAGGAGCCCAGAGCCUGAAUCAGCAUGUGUGUUAGUGGAAGCGUCUGGAAAGGCGCGCGAUACAGGGUGACAGCCCCGUACACAAAAGCGCAUGUGCUGUGAGCUCGAUGAGUAGGGCGGGACACGUGGUAUCCUGUCUGAAUAUGGGGGGACCAUCCUCCAAGGCUAAAUACUCCUGACUGACCGAUAGUGAACCAGUACCGUGAGGGAAAGGACGAAAAGCAACCCGGCGAGGGGAGUGAAAAAGAACCUGAAACCGUGUACGUACAAGCAGUGGGAGCACCCUUUGGGUGUGACUGCGUACCUUUUGUAUAAUGGGUCAGCGACUUAUAUUCUGUAGCUAAGGUUAACCGAAU
rnacentral:rRNA from 1 species